GAUGAACGCUGGCGGCGUGCCUAAUACAUGCAAGUCGAGCGAACGGACGAGAAGCUUGCUUCUCUGAUGUUAGCGGCGGACGGGUGAGUAACACGUGGAUAACCUACCUAUAAGACUGGGAUAACUUCGGGAAACCGUAGCUAAUACCGGAUAAUAUUUUGAACCGCAUGGUUCAAAAGUGAAAGACGGUCUUGCUGUCACUUAUAGAUGGAUCCGCGCUGCAUUAGCUAGUUGGUAAGGUAACGGCUUACCAAGGCAACGAUGCAUAGCCGACCUGAGAGGGUGAUCGGCCACACUGGAACUGAGACACGGUCCAGAAUCCUACGGGAGGCAGCAGUAGGGAAUCUUCCGCAAUGGGCGAAAGCCUGACGGAGCAACGCCGCGUGAGUGAUGAAGGUCUUCGGAUCGUAAAACUCUGUUAUUAGGGAAGAACAUAUGUGUAAGUAACUGUGCACAUCUUGACGGUACCUAAUCAGAAAGCCACGGCUAACUACGUG
rnacentral:rRNA from 1 species